CAGUAGCCGCGGGAAUACCGAGGGUGCAAGCGUUAAUCGGAAUUACUGGGCGUAAAGCGCGCGUAGGUGGUUUGUUAAGUUGGAUGUGAAAGCCCCGGGCUCAACCUGGGAACUGCAUCCAAAACUGGCAAGCUAGAGUACGGUAGAGGGUGGUGGAAUUUCCUGUGUAGCGGUGAAAUGCGUAGAUAUAGGAAGGAACACCAGUGGCGAAGGCGACCACCUGGACUGAUACUGACACUGAGGUGCGAAAGCGUGGGGAGCAAACAGGAUUAGAUACCCCAGUAGUCCCUGUCUCUUAUAA
rnacentral:rRNA from 1 species